UGGCUGAGCGAUAAAGCGCUCGGUUUCUGAACUGGGGGUCCCAGGUUCAAAUCCUGG
rnacentral:tRNA from 1 species